rnacentral:rRNA from 1 species
GACGAACGCUGGCGGCGUGCUUAACACAUGCAAGUCGAACGGAAAGGCGCGGGUUGACGGGUACGCGAGUGGGGAAAGGGGGAGUAACAGGGGGGGGAGCUGCCCUGGAGGGAGGGAGAAGAGGGGGAAACGGGGGGGAAGAACGGAGAGGAGGAAGAGGGAGUGUGGGGGUUGGAAAGGGGUGGCGGGGGAGGAGGAGAGAGCGGCCGCGGAGCUUGUUGGUGGGGGAACGGGCUACCAAGGCGGCGACGGGUAGCCGGCCUGAGUGGGUGGACGGCGACAUUGGCACUGAGAUACGUCACCGACUCCUACCUCAGGCAGCCGUGGGGAAUAUUGCACAAUCGGCGCAACCCUUAUGCAGCGACGCCGCGUGGGGGAUGAAGGCCUUCGGGUUCUAACCUCCUUUCUCUCGGGACGAAGCGUUGUUGUGCCGGUACCUAGAUAAGAAGCACCGGCUAACUACGUG